rnacentral:lncRNA from 1 species
GAGGAAACCUGCAAGCGCCGGGCCGGGCCCCGCACGAAUCCGCUACUCACCCCGGGACAGAAACAGGCACCUGCAGCAGGAACCCACACCAGCCUCACACAGGAAGAAAAUGCCACCCGGGAGAGAGCGCUUCCGGCGCCCCCCCCCCAAACACACAUCGCGCAUGCGCAACCCCGGCCAGCGACAGGCGUGUCCAGACCGGGAGAAACUGCCCGGGGAAGCGAGGCGGGUGCGCGGGUUACUUUGUCUGCUACCGACCGGACUCAGGCUUCCGCAAAGCUCACGUGUCUGCAAGCAGCGCUCGCCAAGCCUCCGAGUUUAGCCGCUCAGUCUCAGAAAUUGAAUUGGGAAAGAAUGAGAGCCAGAGGAUUUAGCUCAGUUGUUCCGCAGCCUGUCUGGAAAGCUCAAGGACCCGGUACCAAAAAAAGAAGGCCCAAGGGAACACACACUUUAAAGCCCGGGCCUUCUGAAUACACAGACCGCCAGGGGGUGAGAUGACAUCAGAAGUUCCCAGAUAAAAGAUGCAACACUUCCUUCAGAUUGAGGUGGUGAUUCUGAAGUAAUGAAAUAGUUCUCCCUAUCUGCUGUCUGCUGUAAGGACCCAUCUUUGAUGGCUAAAGAAUUUUGCAGCCUGAUUGUUGAAUUGUUGGACUGGCAAAUGCUGCUUCUAUUACAGUCCCCCUCCACGCAUAACCUUCAGCAUGACCUUCAGUAAGGAGCUGCAUUGUCAGCCCUCUCCUCCAUUUUCAACUUUUUAAAAUUUAAAACAGGGUCUUGCUAAAUUGCCCAGCCUAGGCUGGAACUUGUGAUUCUGCCUGAGUCCUUCCGAGGUGCUGGUAUUAAAGGCAUGUGCCUCUAUGCACAGCUAUGUGUCUACAUGCUUCACUUACUGUUUUAAAGUUAUUGCAAAGCUGGGUUUAGGAGUACUAGACUGAUCAGGGAGAAAGACUGACUUAACAAGAGCUGGGGGGUUAUUAGACUGGGAAAAUGUUCACAUAAAGUAAGAAAAACCCUGUCCAGCUAAGCAUCUCAGCUACCUUACUCUUAGGCCCUAAUGAACUUAGCCAGCUAGCUUGAGGUUGGGAGCGUUGCUGGGAUGUAGGUCUUUCAGUGCUGAAACAGAUAAUCUUAGACAAAGCAUAAAGCAUUGGGCCCUACUAAAUUUUUCCUAAAAGAAACCUACAAUGAAGUGGAGCUCCUGAAAUGGUUACAAUUCAUCUCAAUUCAUCUGCCUAAUGUUUGAGGAAUACUUGCAGAGGAAAGGAAACUGUUAGAUAAGGUGAUCAAGACUGACCAUAAAGACUCUAGUCCAAAAUAAAUGCUGCUGCCAUUCCCUUUCCAGUUGUUUGCCUCUACCUUUUUGGAUCUGAUAUUUACAUUUAGCAGAUCCUUAGGAGAUUUCUUAUGUCUGGUUUUUAAGACGUCAAAUGACUGUCUUUCUACAUAUCAUACACUUGCAGCAAUCACUAAAACAACUGAGUUAUUCCAGAAAUGAGCAGGUUGAACAUAGGCUUUUCAUCCCAGGAUAGCAUUAUAUAAUCCCUGAAAACACAAAAUACCAUAUUUGGCCUGCAGUAAGGGCUCAGUCAUUAAUUUACUACAGGAUAUAUACUAAUCAGGAAAUAAUAAAUUUUUGUAGCCUUACUGGGCCUUACCUCUUUACUUGAAUCAACAUUACAAAUUAUUGUAGUUACUCUGGAAAGUGUGUAUGUGUGUGUGUAACUCCCUCUUGAAAUAGUUAUGACAGUCCUCCUCCUUAGUACCAUUUCUUCAUUUUUAUUGAAUGUAUGGGAGUGAUGGGUUUGCUUUGUAGCCAAAGUCAGUGCACUAGAACACCUGGUAGGAGGAACGGAUUCCUUAGAUUAGCCAUUCCCAGAUUUCAUUGUAUGUAGACUCACGUGGCAGGUUUGGCAUAAUACAGAGUCCUUAUUCUUAGACAUAGAGGCUCUCAUCCAACUUUGUAGAUUUUGGUGAAGGAAUCUACAUUUUUAUCGAAGAUCUGAGAUCUCUGCCGUGUGAGGAUACUAUGAGAAGAUGUCUGUCUGCAAGCCAGGAAGAGUGCCCUCACCAGACCUUCCAGCCUCCAGAAUUGUGAGAAAUAUUUUUUUAAAACAGCUAAUCAAUCUGAGAUGACUCAGAAGUAGUUUUGGAUCACAUUUUGAGAAAAUAUGCCUCAGUGAGUGGAGAUUUUAGUUCUGUUUUUUUAUAAAAAUCUCUACUCCCCAGCCCAAAAGGCCUAUCUGGUUACCUGAAUCAGGUACAUUGAGAAGCCAAAUCAAGGAGGCUUUGUCAUGAGAUUUGGAGUAAAAUCCCUCUAGAGAGAAAAACAACUGAAACCUUUCUAUAAGUAAACAGAGUAAACCUGACCCUAUGAUGCUUAUUGGAAAUAGUGCAAUUCACAGUGGUUUAGAAAGAGCAAAAACUUCAACAAAUAAAUAGAGUUAUAUAUCAGUAAUUAUGCCAGUAUAAUAACUAUUUGGUAAUCUUAGUUCUUUUUAGAAUAUUUCAUCAGAAAAUAACACUAUUAAAUUACUAUUUUGACUCGAUAAACAGAAUGAAUGGAGAAAGAAAAGAGAAGCAAUAAUACGAAAUGAAGCUGAAGCCAUGAGAGUAAUGAAAAAAGAUUAAAGUUAAGUACUUGAGCUCCAAAGGAUGACUAAGGUGGAACCAAGGUAAAAAUAAUAGAAAAUUAAAAUUUCAGAGAAUUUGAAGUGGAAAGACAAAAUGAUAGCUCCAUUCUAUAAAAAGCACAAAAGCUAGAGAAAGACAAAGCAAAAUUUAACGAACAUGUUGUAAAUCUACUUUCCAUGCUUUUAUUUUUUUAAACGUUGUACAUCAUUUAAAAUGUGCAAAACACAAAAGAGUACGAGCAAGUAUGCCCAUACCAGCUGCGUGAUAUGGCCAUCUACCAAGUCCAACCCAGCACUAUAGUUUGCUUCUCCUAGGCAUGGGGCAACAGAAGCACAGACUAACCAACUGACCUGCCCCUGAAUGAGAACAAUUCCCCAGGGAGGAAAGGUGAGCCCAGAAAACUAGCAGACCCAGGGAGAAAAUAUGGACCUGGCCAGCAUAUCAGAGGCUCCAGUGCUACCCUCCCUGUGUAACUACGUGAGAAACAACCACAGGAGACCACUGCCAGACAUAGGCCCUCUCUAAAAAGCUCAGACUGCAGGCUCUGCCCUCUGUAAGGAGCAAGUAGAUCAGUGAUGGCAAACCUUGUAGAGACCCAUUGCCCAGACUGCAAUCCAAAACCCACUUAACACAGAGUGCCAACACUGCAAUUAAACCUGAAUACUGAUGGUUUGGUUUAGAAAAGAACAACUGUUAUCCCAUGCUCAGCUGCUGGGGGGACUUGCAACUUGCCUUGCCUGUCUGCUGUGGCACACCUGGCAGCCUAUUUCCAGCAGAGACUAGAAGGCUGAUAGUGUUUCCUAUCUACCAAUAUGAGCAAGGACAUACCUUGGCUUAAAGGGUAACCAUGGUCUGAGGUGAGCCAGGGGCCUCCACUACAAGGAAGGCACCUCCAAAACUCAUACGACCUAGAGUCAGUUGGAGAAAAUUGUGACUGACUUGAUUUCAGCUACUGAGCUUUGUGAAUCUCUAGACAGCUAGCAUUAUGCUACUACUGUUCAAUACUGUUUGUUGUUAGUAGAGACAAACUUGUUCCAUUUAGUAGAUAUUUACUUUAGGUAAAUAGUGGGUCAAUAUUUGGUUUGUCUUAGUGUUAAAUCUCUUUUCUGAGGUUGCAGGUGAUUGGGGUUUGUCAAUAUUCAGUUUGUUUUUUGUCACUAUAAUAGUUACUGAUUUUAUUACUAUAGCCAAGGUGACAUAGCUUUUGCUAUUAAUUGGUUUUCUUGGGAUGCCAGUAUCUGGAUUGCCUUAGGAUUAUGUGUCAUAAACAAUACUAUGGCCCAUUCCUAGACAGCUACAUACUGGGCCAAAUGUGCUGCAACCUGCCAUCCAAGUAAACAGAGGAGGCUGGAUCCUGGGACAGAAGCAAAGGCUAAUAGCCACACCCAGAGGACACCAAAGUAGACGUUAACUAAAGAGGUCUCCAUACCAGCAACCAAGAUUUCACCUAUAACUAAUCUGUAAGUCUCAACAUAAGAAAACAAACAAGGAAUAUGAGAAGACAAAGCAACAAAAUGCUUCCUGUUAUGGCUUAUUUCUAGAUGUCUUCCCAAACCCUCAUGCACUCAUGGGUGGGGUGUUUUGGAUGUGACUGGAUCUACGGUGUAUGAAUGUGGGUUAAGGAUGUGUAAUAAUUAAAUUAGUCCACUAAUUGGUUUAGCAUAGCUCUAGGUGUAGGUAAUGGGAAGCACCACCCUGGGUGUGGGUGGCACAAACAUAUAGGUUUAUAGCCUCCGUGGAAUAAAAGGGAAAGGGAGGCUCACAGUCUUGAUUCCUUCCUGACCUGCAUAACCAAGUCUGUACCAUACCCCUAUGCCAUGUUACCCUGCCUUGGAACCAGCCAACUAUGGACUGAACCUCUACAAAUUCUGAGC